AUUUGAGUGUCAUGAAAUAAGACAAUAAUUCUUUGAAGCAAUCAGACGCUGAUUAGUUGACUAUUUGACUUGUGUGAGACUGUGGUUAUAUGUAAAGUAUUUAAUAAAGAUGAAACAAACACGCAAAAUAAAACCACUUAAACAGUUGUUUUUUUAGCCCUGAUUACAUGCUGCCGGGCUGAAAUUAUUUGCGAUUACAUGCUACCGGGAUGAGUUUCAGCUCGGGCUGAAAUUUCAGCUUGGGCAGCUCAAACCAGGCUGAAAUUUCAGCCCGGGCUGAAACUCUCUCCAUCGAGCACCAGCAGAUUGUUCAGUUGUUUUGCAAUAGGCGUAGCCUUGAAGGUGUCAUUAUUGCAUUAAAAUAAUAAUUGGGACAAAAACUGACUUAAUAUUUCUAUAUAUGGAAUUAUUAUUAAAUUCUACAUGUCCAAUGAUUCAUUCAAGUAUUAUUAUUGUUUAUAUAAUAUAAUAUGAUUUUGUACAGUAUUCAGUGGUAGGCUAGCUACCAUGGUAACUGGUUAUGCCAUGCCAAUAAACCUGCAUAAACAUAGCAUGACCUGUUGCUAGGUCAGCUUCACCACUGACAGUGUUUUAAAUAGUACAUACAAAAGCAUGACGUUAUAAGCAUUGAAUGUAUUCAUAUGCAUUUAGCUGACCUUUCCACUUUUCCUGUUUACAUGAUGGAAGGUGGGAUGAUUUUUGAUGUAUUGGAAUAAGUCACUAGGCUAACAAAAGUUCAAAUGCUUGUUAACAGAACUCAAAUAUUGUAGAGAAGAUCUUGUAGUUCAAGAAGGUUAUAAUUGCUGCUUGAACAACCUUUUGUUUACAGUUAACUAUAAUCUACUGUAUCUCUAGAAAAUGUUUUUUUGCUGAAUUGUGCACUGUGACUCAUUUCAAUACAUCAAAAUCAUCCUGCCUCAUAUCUCGUCCUGGCGAAGCGGGAUCGUAUAAACAACUCCUUAUUCGGCAAAUUGCGCAUGGUGCCAUCCCUUGGUGGUGAGGCAGCAUUUUCCUUGCGAUAGUAACUUCUAGUAUCAGAAGUAUGUGUACGAUACCUAUGCAUGCUGAAAGUUUACUUGCAUGAUAAUAAUUCGAAAAUGACAUACACAUAGAGAAAUGCAACUAGUUAUUCAAAAUCAGUGUAAGGGGUCUGGGAACGACUGUGUUGCCUUGACAACGAAAUUAGAAGUAUUUUCCCAUGCGUCUCAUCAUGUACUAUCUGUAUGCAAAAUUUCAUUUGAUUUGAGCCAAUAAUAACUCAGCUAUGCUUUAGUUUACUAUUCAAUAACUUACCCCGCUUAUGACGUCACACAUUGUGCUGAAUCAGCAAUUUAUAUUUUGCACAUUUUUGCGUAUAACUUCGGAACCAGAUGAGAUAGAAUAGAGCAGUAAACGGCCAAUCGGCUUAUUUUUUCAUGCUCUUUCAGAUGAAGCAAUAAGAUAGAUGAAGCAAUUUUCAUUGCCCAUACCUUUAAUAAUUAAUAUACUAUUACUAUAUGAUACGAAAUAGAUGAUACACAACAUACUCAAGUCAUUGUGUUAAAAAUAAUGUAAUAGUAGAAACAAACAACCAAAUAAAUACCUUCGACAUU
rnacentral:lncRNA from 1 species